GUGGUCUAAUUCUUCUUCCAUUUAUUUUAUUUUAGAAUAAUUUAAUUCUAAUUUUGUUUGCAUUUAUUUGAUAUCAUAAGAAGAAAUUAUAGAUUAUUGCACAAGAAAGUAUACAACUUUGUUUUAUUUAGAAAAUUUAUAACGUUUUCGUUACUAUCUUCAUACGCAGUAAUUCCUAUAUUUUAGAAAUUAUUUGUGACUGUGUGCAGAACGGUCUUAGAAUCAAGAACCAUCAAACAUUCCGUUCAAAUAAAAGAAGAAUCAUCCUCUUCAUCAUCCAGUGGUAGGA